UAUAUUAUUAUUGGGUCUGCUAACAUCAACCAGAGGUCAAUGGAUGGUGCAAGAGACUCUGAGAUAGCAAUGGGAGGUUAUCAACCACAUCACUUGUCCCAUAGACAACCAGCUCGUGGCCAGAUCCAUGGGUUCCGUAUGUCACUCUGGUACGAACACCUGGGAAUGCUCGAUGAGACCUUCCUCGAUCCCUCAAGCUUAGAAUGCAUCGAGAAAGUUAACCGCAUUUCUGACAAGUAUUGGGACUUUUACUCAAGUGAGUCACUCGAACAUGACCUUCCCGGUCACUUGCUCCGCUACCCGAUUGGUGUAGCCAGCGAAGGCGACAUCACCGAGCUUCCAGGAUUCGAAUUCUUCCCGGACACAAAGGCCCGUAUCCUCGGCACCAAAUCAGACUACCUGCCUCCAAUCCUUACAACCUAAUCUCACUGCGCAUGUCGAGUAAUGAUCUCUCUCUCUCCCUCUCUCUGCUUUGCUGCUGUUGUAGCUUUGAAUAAACUUGAGUGUCUACCUUUAGAAUUAAUAAGUUAAUGGUUGGUGUGAUGAUGCAACUUUUUUACCCCUUGGUUUUAUAUUCGUACAAUGACGUGGUGAGAGAAUGUAGCUUUGUGAUCUUCUUUUGUUGUGGUUAUGUACCUUUGAACUUAUGAAUCUUA
rnacentral:lncRNA from 1 species